GCCGGGGUGAUGGAAUGGGCAGACAUGCUUGUUUUAGAAACAAGAUUUUGGGGAUUCGACUUCCCCCUCCGGCACCA
rnacentral:tRNA from 1 species